UACGGGGGGGGGUAAGCGUUGUUCGGAAUUACUGGGCGUAAAGGGCUCGUAGGCGGCCAACUAAGUCGGACGUGAAAUCCCUCAGCUUAACUGGGGAACUGCGUCCGAUACUGGAUGGCUUGGAUUUGGGAGAGGGAUGCGGAAUUCCAGGUGUAGCGGUGAAAUGCGUAGAUAUCGUAAGGAAGACCAGUGGCGAAGGCGGCAUCCUGGACCGGCAUUGACGCUGAGGCGCGAAAGCCAGGGGAGCGAACAGG
rnacentral:rRNA from 1 species